UAAUUUGUUUAUGACAAAUCCUCAUUUAGUUAUGGUUGACCCAUACUUGACUGCUUAGAAUCACCCAUUAUCACAAGUCCGACUACAUCAUUGACAUUGAAAAACAAAGGACAACUAUUGUGUGAAUAAUAA
rnacentral:pre_miRNA from 13 species